AGCGUAGGCGGCAUGGUAAGUCAGAUGUGAAAUCCCGGGGCUCAACCCCGGAACUGCAUCCGAUACUGCCGUGCUAGAGGAUUGGAGAGGUAGCUGGAAUUCUUGGUGUAGCAGUGAAAUGCGUGGAUAUCAAGAGGAACACUCGUGGCGAAAGCGAGCUACUGGACAACUCCUGACGCUGAGGCUCGAAGGCCAGGGUAGCGAAAG
rnacentral:rRNA from 1 species